rnacentral:rRNA from 1 species
AUGGCGAUGGAUAAGAGGAAGGUUGAUAGUGAGAGAAGAGAGGGGAUCGAGGAGAGCAAUGAUAUGGGCACGGAUGUGCCCCCGACCAUUGACAAGAAGGGCAAGGAGCCGGUUCAUCCCAUGCCCGAGGUGGUGUUGCCGCCCACCGCCAAGGAAGAACUGACGACGCCAACGGUUGGCGACGACGAGCGCAUGGGGGAGCCCCCUCGGUGCAGGCGCCGCAACUACGGCCACUACUAUGAGGAGGGUGGCCCAACUCACUUCUGCAAGGUCAUCCUUGCACCGAAGCUUGAGUGCAUCCCCAUGCCCCUGGACUUCACCAAGCACUUCAUCGCUGUGCCGGCUGAGUUCAAGCUGAGGAAUAACACUGGCUGCUCUUGGAGGGUGACGGUGAAGCUGGUGAACGGCAGGACCGGCUACAUGGUGACGUUCAAGCUUCUGACUCCCAACACCCUCAAGGUCAUCAUCUUCAAUGACGAUGGCAUUGAGGUGGUCAACAAGUGA